CAGCAGUAGCCGCGGUAAUACGAAGGGGGCUAGCGUUGCUCGGAAUGACUGGGCGUAAAGGGCGCGUAGGCGGCUUGUACAGUCAGAUGUGAAAUUCCUGGGCUUAACCUGGGGGCUGCAUUUGAUACGUGCGGGCUAGAAUGUGAAAGAGGGUCGUGGAAUUCCCAGUGUAGAGGUGAAAUUCGUAGAUAUUGGGAAGAACACCGGUGGCGAAGGCGGCGACCUGGUCCUUGACUGACGCUGAGGCGCGAAAGCGUGGGGAGCAAACAGGAUUAGAUACCCCCGUAGUCCCUGUCUCUUAUAC
rnacentral:rRNA from 1 species